UGCCAGCCGCCGCGGUAAUACGGAGAGUGCAAGCGUUGUUCGGAAUUAUUGGGCGUAAAGGGCGUGUAGGCGGCCUGCUAAGUCUGGUGUGAAAGCCCUCGGCUUAACCGAGGAAGUGCACUGGAAACUGGCGAGCUUGAGUACGGAAGAGGGAAGCGGAAUUCCCGGUGUAGAGGUGAAAUUCGUAGAUAUCGGGAGGAACAUCAGUGGCGAAGGCGGCUUCCUGGUCCGAUACUGACGCUGAGGCGCGAAAGCGUGGGGAGCAAACAGGAUUAGAUA
rnacentral:rRNA from 1 species